CAGGGAUUCUCUGAGCCCUCCACCAACCUCUGUGCCAUCUUCUCCUCUUCUGAUCCUCUUCCUGGAGUACACUGUCUAGGUUCUGAAGUAUAGUCAUGUGGCCUUUUAGUACUGACUUAUUUGUGGUUGGGGGAGUGGCUUAAGGAAUUAAGCAAUUUUGUUACAGGGCUCCAAACUUUCUGGAUUCAGGCAAGGACAGAGGCAAAACUCAAAGAAAGUUGAGCAUCGAUGAGAACACGCUGUCAUUGAGACACAGAGCCUGGAGGAGAAAAUAUCACAUGGCUAAAAAAUUCUUUUCAAGUUUCAACUUCUUAUUUCCUCAAUUCCACACAUGCAACUUUUGCCCUUGCUGUAGAAAUCCUACUGAUUUAUAAUAAGCCUCUGCUCAUGGAAGGGAAAUGAGAGCGCAGAGCACACGGCUGAGUUAUUGUGCUUGUUGAUAAUAUUUAGUGCAGCUUGGGAAAUUACUGCGGAAAGCUUGCUGCCCCCUAUGCGCUUUGGGGAACUUCCCAGAAGCCAGAGCUUGCAGCGCCACCGCCCUCAUCCCUCCACGUGUUGUCUCACUUCCUCUGAGGUGCUCCGGCGCUCUCAGAGCGCAGGGAGCCCUAGGCUGAAGAAAUUAUGGCGUGAUUUAGAGGAGUUAAAAAAAACUAUCCUGCGUGCAUCUCAACAGAAGAACAGGGUACCUACAAAGCAAGCAACAUCCCUUUGCCUUAGAUUUUGCUCCAACACAGAACCACCAUCUCCAGAAGCUUAAAUGAGCAAGGUCAUGACCCUAGAAUUCUGUGUUCAGCUAAAUUGUUAUUGAUGUGUGAAGCCAUAAAAACAAACAAACAAACAAACAAAAACACUUAGGGAAACGCAAUGGUGUAGAAAGUAUGCCGCUUUCUUAUGCUUCCUGGAAACUGUUCUAAGAUGUAUUUCACCUGACUCAUAGAUAAAUCAAGGAUUCAAAAGCCGAUGAUGGUAUCGUAUGCUGCAAAGAAAAUCUGAUUAUGUUCCAAAGAGUACAAAUGGCACAAGCCACAUUUUCUGACUGGGAUAUGAUAGAAUGAAAAAAUUAUAAAAACCUGUAACAAAUGGAAUAAGAAAUAAUUUUCAGAAAUGACUAUGGAAGGAAGAUGAAAUAAAAAUUCAGUUAUAAUAUGUUUAGAAAAUGAGAAAUUUGAUACAAUGAAAACAUUUCAUAAUUUAAUCAUCGUCAUUUCAUUUGUGAAUGAGAAGUUAUUAUCUAGGGUGACUCUUGUGCCAGAGGAAAGGACAGGAUCAGGACAGGAGUCUGCACCCUCCCUUGAGAAAAGGGACACCCACCAAGAGAAACUUUCAUCACCUGAACUGCCCCGCAACAGGGAGGCUUCAGGGAGGGUAGAUGAACUCAUUUGAUAGGAGUUAGCUGAGGAGGAAGAAAAAGAACAUUAGUAAUGUCUCCCUUGAGAGGAAAGAGACAAACUGGAAUCAAAGGCAGCAGCAAGAUACAGCCAAAGAAAUGCCAGCGGGCCUUGAGAUUCAAAGACUCCAUCUCGAAAUCCCUAUGCUGGGCUAACUCACCUGAAUGGUAAGUGACCUUCCAAGAAGCAGACCCACCUGGUGGAGCAGCUGAAUUGGCCCUUGGCUGCUGCCUAUGCCACCUGCUUAAGGACAUUGCCAAAGUCUACCUGAGGUCCCUUUGGAGCGCCUCUGACCCAUUCCUGAAUCUAAGGGUAGGAAGCCCAGGGGAGUGUGUGAAAUGCUGCUACAGAGGCCCCAGGUCUCUGCCAGUCCUCUCCUGGCAGGCUGCUGUCUGCAGCUCUACCUGCUCUAACCAGCACCUCAUCCCAAAGCUCACUGGGCAGGGGCCAUGUUUCCGCCCUACACCAUGUUAUCCCUUUUCUCACCCUGCACCCACAAGACUGUGCUAAUCUGGCAGUGGCUACGGUAUGCAGGGCUGGCAAGAGCCCCUACAGGGAGGCUUGGGCAGUCUUGCAAGAUGAAAUACUGAGGCUGUUUGAUGCUCAGAAUGUGGCCAUGUCUCCCGAGGGAAGUGCUGCUGCCUGCAGGGUCGCAUAGAGAGGAGAGCACCCUGGCUUCCUGAGACACACUCACACAGGCAGAGCUCCUAGUUGCACCAGAUGUGCCAGCUGUAGAAGUGCAUGGUCUCUGGGCACAUGAGGCCAGAACCUCAGCCCCAAUCUAACCUGUCACUGCUGUUGCUGUUGCUGUAGCAGCCUGGGGGGCCCUCAUGGGUAAGCCUGCUGGAAUGUGGACUUUGGGCAUGGAAGGACCCCUCCCCCACCACCAAUACCUAUUGCAUCUUCCUCUGGGCCUGUCUUCUCAUCAUUCUGCUCAACUGCAGCCUCACACCCUGACCUUGACCUGUCAAAUGCCAGCCAGAGAGUGAAUUUUCUACACCAACCUGUCCUUUAAAUUCUUCAGGACCUGUCCACUUUCCCUUUGGAUAAUGUCCAAAUGUCUUAAGGAGACACUAUAGGAUUCAAUACUUCUCUGCUAGGCUUCUUUUGCUCCUUUUUUCUUUCAAACUCCAUUCUCCAGCCUCCCGAAUGACUUGGUGUUUCUCUCUUUAGGCUGUUGCUCUCAUGCUCUUCUCACUUUCUGAUCAGACAUCUUUAGCCCUCUUCAUCUGGGUGAGUAGCAUCGUCUCAUCCUACAGGUCUCUGCUGAGGCAUGGCUCAAGGUGCAGAGCCUUCCCUGGUUCCCGAAACCUGGCUCAGAUGCCCCUUCUGAGCUCUGGAAGCAUUUUCUACCUCCCCUAUCUCAGCAGAUACCACAUUAAAUUGUAUUUUCUUAUUUUCUGGUUACACCGUUCCCCCUCGACCAUAAAUUCUACUUAGGCAAAAGCUUUCUUUUAAUUGUUUUUUUGUUGUUGUUUAUUUACUUGUUUAGAUCCUGCUGCCUAUUCAUGUACCUGGCACACAACUGUUGUUCAACAAAUACUUGCAGAAUCACAGGAUUAAUAGCAGAUGCACUGCAGUCCUCCUGGCUCCUGCACUUGCCACAGGAGAAUGGCAGUACUUUGGAGGUUGCCCAUCUCCUGUGGGCUCCAGAAACCUCAGGUCUGUGAGAGUUUUGGCAAGUGGAAGGUGGAUGGCAGUGAUGUGUGUCAUUUCCAGGCCUGGCAACCUAAAUACCUCCUCUGUGCAUUCCACGGUGGCUCAUUCUUGCCUUGUUGGCCAGCCAGAUGCAGAAGAUCCAGCAUAGAGUUCCAAAGCCUCCAGGAUUCCAAGGCAUCUAGGAGAUAGAGGAGCAACUAAAUGCAGGGUGCCUGGGCCCCUGGAGGACUGCAUGGAGCAGAACAACUCUUCCUCAUCCCCCCUUUCUGCUGAUUCCGUGUGGUCUGUGAUGUGAGCAAGAAAAAGACCUUUGCUGUAUUAAGCCACUGAGGCUGGCGGCUGGGGUGGGUGGGGGGUUAUUUGUGAAAGCACUAAGCCUGCUCAAACUCAACAACCUUCUAGCCUGUGUCAUCCCCAGGUUAUCACUCCUGUCCUAGCUUCCUGAAUUUCCUAUUAUAUUCCAGGUACUUAGAAUACAAGCCUAAGAGCAGAGUCCCUUGUACAGGAGAGUUGCAGAUACUGGAAGUUCAAGGACAAAGGAGGGGUCUUGAAUAUUUGCUAGCCACUUUGCUCCUCUGUGACUAUGAUGUGCCAAGGCCUGCAGGAAUUUUCUCCCCAGAGCACAGCUGCAGUGUGCAUCAGCAUGGCUGCAUGAUACCUAUUAUUUCUACAUGGGCUGGCCUCUAAAGAAGAAAAAAGCUCUGCAGUGGCUGGGCCCUCACAUUCCUGCAGAAGCCACAUGUCCUUGCACAUCUGAGCACUAGAGACCAUGAGUAGGGGACAAACCUACCCAUGUUCUGGAACACUGACUACUGUCUAAGCCACAAAGGAGAGUAACAUGUUCUUCUGCAUUGUGUUGAAGAAUUUCUGCUUGAGAGUCAGAGAGAUGUGGGCUUGAAGCCCUACUGUGGUAUUUCAGUGACUUUGGGCAAUCUUAAUAUCUCUAAGUACCAUUCACACACACACACACACACACACACGCACGCACGCACACACAUCUUUAUAGAUCUCACUCUAUAUACAGAUAGAAAUAUCUAUGUAGACUUCUAUAUAGAGACAGAAAAAUUAAGAUGCUUGUUGCACGGUCCUCAGUAUUGUGCCUAAUGCACAAUAUGUCCUAAAUACAUGGUAGCUUUGUCCAUGGUAAGAACUACAAUAAUAACAAGCAUUCACUGAGUGCUCCUGCCAUGCUUUACCUGUAUUAACCACUAACCGUGUUAACUCAUCUAACCCUUACAACUAGCGUAUGAAUUAAGUUCUAUUAUUAGCUCCAUCUUAUAGAUGGGGAAACAGAAGCAGAGUAGUGUCCAUUCUACAGGUCAUACAGCUAUAUACAGCUAGAGUGUCCGAGCAGACACUCCAGCUCACACAAUCAAGAGUCCCUGCUCUUGACUGUUAGGUCAAGAAGAUGAUGAGGAGAAGAAGGAUGACAAUGUUGAUGAUGCCAUCCUUUGGCUUCCUCAGCUUUUCUGUGGAGCCCUUUGCUCACAAGAAAAUCUAACUGUGCUAUGUCCUUUCCUUUCUCUCUGGCCUCCGUGGCUCCUACCGUGGGCAGCUGAAGGGUCUUCAGAUGCAAGGGAGGGGGCUCUUUUGGCUCAACCCAAAGUGUCUGGCACUGGUAGCCCUGCACGUUCUAGCAGUGGCACCAAGGACCCGGCGUGGGCAGGAGCACGCAGGCUGGAGCUGCCCUGUAGGAGGCACUGCUUCUCCUGCCCUCAUCGCCCACUUCUCCUAUUAGGAAAUGCCUGAGGAGGUGCCACUCCUGCGGGGCUGUUUUGAAGGGGCUGGAAGUCUUUUCUGUCACCACCUUUACCUACCUGUCAUCUGUGAACGUGACUGGAGAUGCCAAGGCUUUCCUCGACUUCUGCCACUGCCCAUGGUUCAUGGCCCUCUCACCCUGCUCCUCUUGUAAGCAGUGCCAGCAACUUGACAUUCUGAGUGAAGCCUUGCUAGGGCCCAUCCAGCACUUCUAAUGGUGCUGUCAACUGGAGUCUUGUUCGUCCUUGCCCUCAGUGAAGGCCACUUUGCAUGUGGACCCUGACGCUGGACACAUGAUGGUCAGCUCCAGUAGGCUUUGGCCUGUCAACUCAUCCCAGGAGGCCGGGGGUGUCCAUCUGGGAUUGUGGUAUUGUCUCUGUCUCAGCAUGAUCAGCACAUGCCUCCUGGGGGAUUAGCCAUCACUCUUCCUUAGUGCUAUGGUCAGUCCAGCUGGGAGGCUAUUGCUGGAGCAGUAUAUGCCAGGGGCCCCAGGUAGCCCUAACCACUGCUAAGAACUGGGUUGAGUCCCCUCAACAUCUGUAAGUUAAAACCCUAACCCCCUGGCUGGGCGCGGUGGCUCACAUCUGUAAUCCCAGCACUUUGGGAGAUGGAGGUGGUGGAUCAUCUGAGAUCAGGAGUUCGAGACCAACCUGGCCUACAUGGGGAAACCCUGUCUGUACUAAAAAUACAAAAAAUUAGCUGGGCGUGGUGGCACGCACCUGUAAUCCCAGCUACUUGGGAAGCUGAGGCAAGAGAAUCUCUUGAACCUAGGAGGCAGAGGUUGCAGUGAACUGAGAUCAUGCCAUUGCACUCCAGUCUGGGCAACAAGAACAAAACUCCGUCUCAAAAAAACACACACAAAAAAGCAAAAAAACAAAAAACAAAAAUAAAAAAAGCAAAACAAAGAAAAAACCCUAACCCCCAAUGUGACUGUAUUUGGAGAUAGGGCUUUUAUGGAAGUAAUGAAAGUUAAAUGAGGUUAUAGGAUAGCGGCCUAAUCCAAUAAGAUUAGUGGCCUUAUUAGAAGAAGAGAUACCAGACUUCUCUCUCUCUCUGUCUCUCUUUCUCUCUCUCUCUCUCUCUCUCUCUCUCCAUGCACAUGUAUGGAAGAAAGGCCAUGUGAGCACAGUGAGAAGGUGGCCAUCUGUAAGCCAGGAAGAGAGCUCUCAUCAGAACCUGACCAUGCUGACACUCUGAUCUUGACCUUUCAGCCUCCAGAACUGUGAGAAAUAAAUGUUUGUGGUUUAAGCCAUCUACUCCAUGGUAUUUUGUUAUGACAGUCCAGGUUGACUAAGACAGACACCUUAGUCUUCUGCACCAGAAAUUGAGUGUUUUUUCACAUGUGGGCCUUAUGGUAAGAGCUUCACUAUUCUGACCUUAUUUACUUCCAACCCUUGGUCCCAGGCUUAUCUGCUGAUACCAAGAGCCUCUCCACUGUGCCUGUCACUGUGCCAUGAACCAUGCUUUCUGCUGCAUACACCUUUGUACUCACACUGAAAGUGAGCCACUGAAACUUCUACUGAGCUAGCCCUCAUCUCCACUCCUGUGACCAAUGGCAGAAGCAUAAAUUCCACACUGUCAGUGGCAUUUGAGAUUCCUCUGAAUGCAUUUUCAUGUAUUAUUGAGCACUGGCUAUUUGUGCAGGCAUUGUCGUUGGUCCCAGUGAGGCAGCCAUGAAUGAGAGGAAUGAGGUCCCCGAUUUCAUAGAAUCUAUGUCCUAGUGAAAGAGACACACAGGCACAUGCACACAAACCUGUGAACAGGAUAACCUGGAUAGUGUUAAGUGCUAAGAAGAAAAAGAAUUCAGGUUGUUGGAUAAGCUCUCCCUAAAGAGGUGACAUUUGAGUUAUCAUCUGAAUAAAAAUAAGGUGCCAGCUGAGCCAGAGUCUGGAGAAAAUGGUCUGAGGGAGGUAACAGCAACUGCAAAUCCUUGAAGGCGGGAAUGAGCUGGAGAAGCUUGGGGCUGACCUCAGCCACGGUGUCAGCAGGGAUCCUGCCUUGGCUGUGCUCCUGCAGGACCUGGGAUUGAAGACUUGAUCUGCUAGCUCCAGCUGCUGCCAACCUUCCAAAUGGAUGCUGAGUAACGACAACUUCCCCCAACCUAGGCUCUGUGGAGGUUAAGAGUCCAAGUGCAAGGAUGGGAACCCCACAGCAGUCACAGGCAUUGGGCUCAAAUACAUGGCCUCAGGCAGACCCUGUGUUCUUUCUAGGGCUCUGAAAGAUAUCUGCUCAAAGAGAUGAUGAGAUAAGGAUAACUUCAAAGUAAUGGAAGAACUAACUAGUCUCAUCUCUGAGGAGAUAAUUAAUGAGUUGGGCUAUCACUUCUUGUCUUUUGUAUUGAUCAGUAUCAAUAUCUGGAGCAUGCAGAGCCAAAGGUGAGAGUUGAGACCAUGCCUCUAAGGAAUUUCCAUGAAUACCUGAGUUUUUCAAAGCAUGAAGUGGGCAGAUUGCCAGUCUGUGUCUCCUGGCUUCAGCCAGCUUCAUAUACUGUGUUCAGAGGGCUCCCUGUGAGGGGGUCUCUGAGCCAAGGAGAGUGCCAUCUUGCAUUGCAUUAUAUUUCAGAAGACAUUAUAGAAGGUUAUGGGGGAGCUGAAGAUACUUGCUCUCCCCACUUUGAUAUCUGCUUCACCAGAAUGACAUGGGCCACAGGGGACCUGCAGGAGCUUUGCCCCGCCUCCCCUACAGCUAAUCUCUAGCAGGACAGAUUUUUUCCUGCCUGGCUCCCUGCUUCCUCACUUAAGGUCCAUCUCCCUAGAAGAACAGCAUUGCAGUCCUGAGCCCAGCAAGAUCUGAGCAUCACCAUCUUCCUUUGGUUUUGUAUGAACCAAACACCGUUGAGGGGUCUUAGAGAGGCAGGUUUGAAUUUCAUCUCUGUAAUUAACUGUGUGACUUUGAGCAUGUCACUAAACUUCUCAGAACCUCAGUUUUUUUUUUUUCUGUCAAUUAGGUUGCUAUGAGGAUUCCAAGAAACUGAGUGUGUAAGCCACCUAGUUCUGAACCUCACACAGAGCAGACUAGAUGUCCAGGUCUUCUCAACACUCUGCUUGCACUGCUAGGACAGGCCACUGCCACGACACCUGGCCCUCCCUGCUAACUGCUGAGAACACCUUCAGUUUCCCUCAAAAGAACCAUCAGCCUGAUCAGAAUGUGGAUUACCUACAUCCUGUGGAUCUGAUGAUGGGCCACCCUAGCUGUUUCCUACAGAACACCAGACUCACCUCUCCCUCCUCACUGCUUGGUACUUGCUGCUUGCUGUCUGGGGAGAAUUCUGCUGCCAAAUCAGCUGGCUUCCCUGACAGCUCAGUCCUGUGACUUGGGGUCAGAAAUCUCUGGAUCCUACCCUUCAAUGCAAGGAGGAAAGUAAAGAGCACUGGACUUGGUGUCAGAAGAUGAGGGUGGAAUCUCAACUCUGCCACUAAUUAGCCCCACGACCUUGGACCGAGGACCAAGAGGAGACCGGUCUGAUGGAGAGACUAUUGCCCUCACCUUGAGACCCAGGAUUGUAUUUGGAUUCAGUGACUGGAGGUUGCUUAAGGAUUUCAUCCUAGAGAAAACAUGAAAUAAAAUACUGCAUCCUGAACACAAAAUACUCCUUUUAGCAACUAAAGGAGUCGAUUGCUGAGGCAACCGGAGGAUCCAGAGAUCAACACAGACAACUCCUGUUUCUUCAAUAACCUUCACUGAUGUCUUUACAUGCAAGGUGGAGGGAAGUCAUCAUUGCUCAGAUACUGGGCUUCUGUUUGAGCACAUCUUCUUCCUCACUUACACUGGAGUGGCCAGUUUCCAGCUAAGAUCCAGCCACUUCACCAUCGGCCUCUACUGUAGUAUCAAUCACACAGACUCAGAGCGGCGUCUUGUUUGCGGCCAGUUGUUGUGGGAAUGGCUUUUCUGAGGGAACCUCCGAUGUGAAUAAACAAGAGACACGGGCAAGAAUCUUCAUUUCAGCAUCAUUUGUAAUUGCCAAACAGUGACAAUAAAUGGACUACUCUUCAGGAAGAGAAUGGGUAGAUUUAUUAUGGGUUAUACAUCCAAUAAAAUACUCUCACGUGGUGGUUAAAAUGAAUCACAUAGAUCUUCAUGCACCAACAUAGAGGAUCUGGCUAAAGAUUUUAAACUGUAUCCUUGAACAAUAAAGAGUUCAGAGGAUUUUGAGUAGGAAUCAUGAUAUGUCUAAAAGUUUUCUGGAAGCUAGUCAUUUGUGUGUGUGUGUGUGUGUGUAUGCACUUGUGUGCACGUGUGUGUGUGUUCUGUGGAAAGAAGUAUGGUAUCACUGUUCUGAGAGGUUAAAAGAAGAUGGAGAGAACCAUGGAUGAAGCUGGAAACCAUCAUCCUCAGCAAAGUAACACAGGAACAGAAAACAGAACACUGCAUGUUCUCACUCAUAAGUGAGAGCUGAGCAAUGAGAACACAUGGACACAGGGAGAGGAGCAUCACACACCAGGGCCUGUCGGGGGGUUGAGGGAAAGGGGAGGGAGAGCAUUAGAACAAAUACCUAAUGCAUGUAGGGCUUAAAGCCUAGAUGACGGGUUUAUGGGUGCAGCAAACCAGCAUGGCACAUGUAUACCUAUGUAACAAACCUGCAUGUUCAGUACAUGUAACCCAGAACUUAAAGUACAAUAAAAAAAGAAUAAAAAUUUAAAAAAAAAAGAAGAGAGAGAGACCAAGAAGAAACUGAACUGUAACUAAGGAAGGAUUGAAAUUUAUAAGCCAGGUUGACCAACCCUAUAUGAAGUCAGUUCCUACCUGACAACAAGUUAGAUUUGAGUGUAUCCACAGUCCAUUUUGUUUUUUGGGAAAUGAAAAUGGAAGAUAUUGAGCAGUAACUACUGAGACAACUGCUGAGAAACAUUUUGUAAACUACAAAGUACUGUGCACAAGCCAGGAGGUUUUGGUUUUCUUACAUAAACAGUCAGCCAGGAUUUCUUUCCCGGAGAGAGC
rnacentral:lncRNA from 10 species